GACUGCAGACAGACGGAAACUGACUGGAGACGAAUGGGCUGAUUGCAAAACGCACAGAAACAAUCGUUGGACACGUGCAGACUGACACCAUGGAGGAAGCUGUAUGGUGGUGUGUGCCUCCCUCCUCCCAGGGAGCUCUGCAGUAGGAUGCAUGUCUGCGUCUCCAUCUGGACUCUCCCACAGAUGACUUCCCACCUCUGCUUACUCAUCCUGUCCAGCUUGGCGGUUUCAUCCGAACUGGGUUUGGAGGAUGUUUUCUUCAGUCCCCAGGACCAGACAGUCAGAGAAGGAGAGGGGGUUUUCCUUCAGUGUGUGUCAGGGGAAAGUUCACCUCCUGCGAGCAUCACCUGGCUCAAAGACGG